UGCACUAUCUCUGGGCCUAAUAAUUUCUCUCGCCCACAUCAUCCCAACAAAAUAGGAGAUCCAUGUUAAAAUAUUCCAAAUCUAAGACCAAUCAAGGAAUCACCAACCGUUAACGCUAAAUUUAAGAUGCCCAAGGUUCUCCCAAAAAUUGUCAACAAUAGAAGAACCCACUGGUGAAAAUUACAUAGCUACCUCUAGAUCAUCCAUAGAAUCAAUAACAUUCUCCUCUGC
rnacentral:lncRNA from 1 species